rnacentral:rRNA from 1 species
GGCUUAGAGUUUGAUCAUGGCUCAGGAUGAACGCUGGCGGCGUGCCUAACACAUGCAAGUCGAGCGAUUUACUUCGGUAAAGAGCGGCGGACGGGUGAGUAACGCGUGGGUAACCUGCCCUGUACACACGGAUAACAUACCGAAAGGUAUGCUAAUACGAGAUAAUAUGCUUUUAUCGCAUGGUAGAAGUAUCAAAGCUUUUGCGGUACAGGAUGGACCCGCGUCUGAUUAGCUAGUUGGUAAGGUAACGGCUUACCAAGGCGACGAUCAGUAGCCGACCUGAGAGGGUGAUCGGCCACAUUGGAACUGAGACACGGUCCAAACUCCUACGGGAGGCAGCAGUGGGGAAUAUUGCACAAUGGGCGAAAGCCUGAUGCAGCAACGCCGCGUGAGCGAUGAAGGCCUUCGGGUCGUAAAGCUCUGUCCUCAAGGAAGAUAAUGACGGUACUUGAGGAGGAAGCCCCGGCUAACUACGUGCCAGCAGCCGCGGUAAUACGUAGGGGGCUAGCGUUAUCCGGAAUUACUGGGCGUAAAGGGUGCGUAGGUGGUUUCUUAAGUCAGAGGUGAAAGGCUACGGCUCAACCGUAGUAAGCCUUUGAAACUAGGAAACUUGAGUGCAGGAGAGGAGAGUGGAAUUCCUAGUGUAGCGGUGAAAUGCGUAGAUAUUAGGAGGAACACCAGUUGCGAAGGCGGCUCUCUGGACUGUAACUGACACUGAGGCACGAAAGCGUGNGGAGCAAACAGGAUUAGAUACCCUGGUAGUCCACGCCGUUAACGAUGAGUACUAGCUGUCGGAGGCUACCCCCUUCGGUGGCGCAGCUAACGCAUUAAGUACUCCGCCUGGGAAGUACGCUCGCAAGAGUGUAACUCAAAGGAAU